AGCAGCCGCGGUAAAUUCCAGCUCCAAUAGCGUAUAUUGAAGUUGUUGCAGUUAAAAAGCUCGUAGUUGAAUUUCGGGAUCAAUAUGUUGCUCGUGCCUUGGUACGUACUAAUUUAUUGGUUUCUUCCUUCUGACGAACCAUGAUGUCAUUAAUUUGGCGUCAUGGAGAAUCAGGACUGUUACUUUGAAAAAAUUAGAGUGUUUAAAGCAGGCUCACGCUUGAAUACAUUAGCAUGGAAUAAUGAAAUAGGACGUUUGAUCCUAUUUUGUUGGUUUCUAGGAUUGACGUAAUGAUUAAUAGGGAUAGUUGGGGGCAUUAGUAUUCAAUUGUCAGAGGUGAAAUUCUUGGAUUUAUUGAAGACUAACUACUGCGAAAGUAUUUGCCAAGGAUGUUUU
rnacentral:rRNA from 1 species